GCUUACGGCCACACCGCCUGGUAUACGCUUGAUCUCGGAAGAUAAGGUAGGUUGGGCCUGGUUAGUACUUGCAUGGGAGACCGCCUGGGAAUACCAGGUGCUGUAAGCU
rnacentral:rRNA from 1 species